rnacentral:rRNA from 1 species
AUGGCGCAUGUCGGGGGCAUCAUCGCCUCUGCCAUCAUCAGUGUUGUGAGCAAGCAGAUCAUGUCCGCCAUCAAUGGCCAGAUUAAGCUGCAGUGGAACUUCGUAAACGACCUACAGAAGAUGAGAUCGUCGCUGGAGACGGUGGAGGCUCUGCUCAAAGACGCUGAGACGCAGUCCAUCACGGAUCCGGCGGUGCGCCUGUGGCUGGGGCGGCUCAAGGACACCAUGUAUGAGAUCUCUGACAUGAUCGAUGAUUUCGAAGUCAACACCGAACCUGCUGCACAAAAGGUAUGCAAACCCAGUUGA